AUGAAUAAUAUAAUCAAUUAUACAAAUUCAGGAGCUAAUCAGAGAACAGUAGACAGUUGGAAAAUAAUUAAUGGCACGGACCCGGUGAUGCCAACGCUAACCCACCUGACAACGCAAACACAGCAGGAUCAAACUCAGCCUCGACAGGGACAUCCAAUAGUCAUUCGGGAUAUUACGGAUAUAAUAUCAUCUUCUUCAACUGCAGUAUCAAAAAAAGGGCGAAAAAUGUAUCAGUGGUUCAGAAAGAAGAGGAGGACAUACAGAGAAGCUAGGUGGUUCUGUGAGGCCAGGGAGAGGCACCUGGUGGAGUUAAGCCAAGCUAAACUGCAGAAACAGAGGACAGAGCAGCUCCUUCAGAGGGUGGAGAGGUCAGACGCAGCUCCAGUGGCAUCGACUAGUGCCUCACACACAUCACCCUUGAGGUGUUGUGUCGUGGUGAUGCUGCAGACAGAGGAGAGCCGAAAAGAAGGGCCCCAGGGCAGGGUUUGA
rnacentral:lncRNA from 1 species